UGAGAAUCCCCUUCAGAGUCUUGUUCAAAAAUCAGUAAAUAUCCAAAUGUGCCUUCUUAAUUUCCUAAUAAAUUAAUCAAAAUGUUAAAAAAACCCUACCCUCUGUAUGAUUUAUUACCUCGCUGUUGCUCAGGACUCAUAAUAAUUUUUUUUAUUCUUGGAAUUUCCUGUGGAAUCUGUUCUCUGUACUUGAUUAGAUGGUCUGGAGUGAAACUGUUUUUCCUUCCAACUCUGGCCAAAAUAUGGGUGAAUCAUCUCUUGUCGAGGGUGUUUUUCCUUAAAAUUGUAAAGGUAAAUCUUUUGUUUUAGUGCUAGGUACUUCAGAGUUCUGUUUCAAUUAAUUAUUCCUCAAGGAUACUGUUAUGUCACAGGUGGUUACAGGGUCAAUAUUAUUUAAACAAAAUUUUAUGUCAGUCAGGCUGUGUGCCAGCCCUUGCAAAAGAAUCCAGCUUCCAGUGGACUCUAACAGAAAGUUCUAAAAUAUUUCAUUUUAUUUUACAUAAAGUUUUAAUUUUUGUUUCCUGAAGAAGAUUUUGGUUCUUAGAGAAGAGGAAUCCUGGUUGGUGUUAGCUAUGAUUUUUAUUGUGAUGAGGGAAUUAAGAUGCUUGCUUAGAUUAAAGUUGUUAUGCUUUCCUCCAACCCAGAGUUCCUUGUUAUGUUCUCUGAAACUCCCUUAUGUUGUAUUUAGGGAUUAUAAAAUCUCCCAUGUGUAUCUCAGUGUGUUAGUACACACUGUCCCACAGACACCUUCCCUGGCUGGCAUAAGAGUUUGGGUCCCUAAAAGCUGACCAGCACUGAAGAAAGAAGUCAGGUUUUUAUCUCAGGGAUAGUGAUGCAGAUUCACAGUAGCCAUGUAAACACAGGCUUUGUGGAGUUGUCCAAGCUUGCCUGGAAAGAGGGAAAGUAGUCGAAGGCAGUAGAGGGAAAGAAGCCAAAAUGUGUUAACUGCCAAAUUAUAAAAUUACUUUAUGCUCCAGGCUUCUGACUGUAGUCCUUCUUGCACCUGCCCCUAAAGGAGUUUUAGUGGCAUGUCAGGGGGGAGGACAAAAUCCAAAGAGCUCCAGUAACCACUGGAAGGAAGAGGAGACCAGAACUUCAGUUUGCAGCCAGAGGUGACCUCUGGAUAAGGGCAUUGUUUUCUUUGCUCCAGUGCAGUUUUGAUAUUUAAGAAUAGAGAAAUGGAAGGGGCUGCUCAAGCCUCAUUAACUUAAUCCCCUGUGUUAUAGAAAAACAUGAAGUGGAAGCUUUUUCCCCACUGCAAUCCUAAAAUAAACAAGAAUUUACAGAAAAUAAAGUUUUUCCCCUGCUGGGCAGGAAGUCUUGAUGGUAAACUUCUGCUGUCCCUGAACUGAUGAAUCAUAAUAGCAAAAUGGAUUUUUUUUUCUCAAGAAUUUGGCCAAUUGCUUGCAUUCUUUUAGACCCAUGUGGAUUAUUGAUAUCUUCAAUAUACUGUGGUGGUAAGUGCUACAUCAUAAAAAUAGACUGUGGGAAAAAAAGAGCCUUUUUAACUUUCAAUUUAUCAUCUACUAAUUUGUUUCAUCCCCCAGCAGUCUCUUACAGGAAAAAACAGUUGAACAAUUGUUUCCUUUCUACCAUUUCUGUGGUAAAAUAACUUCCCAUAAUUUUAAGUUCUUAUAUCAAGUGUUUCCAUCAGUCAUACCCUUUGCAGUCUUGGCAGGUCCUGCUAUCUUCUGUUGUUCCUGUUAUUGAAGGCAUUUCAUACCUUUAAACAUCCUUACAGCCCUCCUCUGUACAUAUUUUCUUUUAUCAUCUGUUUUCAAGAGGGCCAGAACUGCAUUCAAAAAUGUGAUUUCAACAUCAGUCUACACAAUACCUUUUUAUCAUUUAAUCAGCAAUUUAUCCAGAAGAGGACUUUUGUUCCAUGGCAUCUUAGUAUCUCUAAGAGUCUCCAGUGAGAAUGUGUAGAAUGGCUUUUAUAAAUCCAGGUAAAUGAAAUCAAGUGGAUCUCCCUUUUCAUGCAGUCUGUGAUGGCUGGAUAUGAAAGGUAUUCUUAGAUACCCAAUAUUGUUUUUCUACUUGACUUAUAUUCUUUGAUUACAGUAUCUAUCAGCUAUCCCAGAUCGAUGUCACUCUGAUGUCCCUUAGAGAAUUCUUCCAGUGGAAUGUGUGUGGGAGGGAAGAAAAAAAUGGCUGGUUUUUGUAUAAGACAUGUGUAGUCACCACUCCAAAGAAAGCACAGGCAAGUUAUACUAUUUCUGUCACCUUAUGUGCAGAUGAAAAGCAGUUCAAAAGCUUUGAAAAUCUCCACAUUGACACGUUUAAAAGUUUAAGCUUGGUUACAUUUAACAUCCAGUUCCACUGAUGCUGGAUAUAAAUCUAUAUCAAAAUAACUCCCUUUUGCAGAUUUUUGUGAAUUCUGUGCAUUCAGACAAGGAUUACUUAAACUGGCUGUUAAAUACAUCUUAAUUGAAAUCAGUUUGUUAUUCUCAAAGUCUUUUUCAAAGCAAAAUUGGGGACAUGCUUUAUUUGAGAAGCCAAGAAUUCAAUUUUCAUGUAACUGACUUUUUUGUAGGCUUAAAUAAAAUGCAAUAUACAGUUACUAAGAUUUUACUCCAGUUACUAAAUUUCACAGUCCCUAUUAUCCAACUAAAUUAAUACUUCUGACUGAAUGAAAAAUAAUCAAUUUAAACUGUUGCAGAGAAAUGCACACGAGCACAUGCACACACACUGACUGGGGUGUGGUGUUGAUUACUGGGUUUCCUCCUCUUCCUUGCCAAGAGGAAUGUAAUGUUGGCAACUUCUUCCACACUCUAGGUUCCACUUGGGGCUAUUUUCAUGUUUGCUGAUAUUGUAAUGGAUCUUGCAUUUUUUUCCACUGGUCUGCAAGUGCAUCUCAUCUGCAUUUACAAUAUACAGUGCAUUUUAAAUGUGUUGGAUAAUGCUUUCUGCUCUUUUGCUCCUGACACUAGCUUUGCCCUGCUCCAAGUUGUGAGUAUCUUUAAUUUACCAUUGAUGAGUAUUUGCAUCCUUAAUGUGAUUCCAAGCCCCCUCUUAACAAUCCAGGCCUGUAUUUGUCUAGACCACAUCCAGUAUUCACACUUUGAGGGCCUUGCUGUUAUUCCUAUAUAAUUGCACUGGCUGCUGCAUGUGUGAGUCCUAAAUACAUCUCUCUUUGUAGAAUAACCAACUGCCACCAUUGUCUCUAUAAAAACUUUUACAUCAUAUGAUUACAAUAAGCAAAAGUACGUAGAAUGUGGAGUAGCUGUCUGGUCACUACAAAAAAAUAAGUUACAGCUAAGCAAGCUAAACUAAGGUUACCAGUCAGACUAAGACAAGUUCAGCCAAAGAGGAGAACCAGAUAACUAGUGUAAUAAACAUCAGAUUGAAGAGGCAUCACUUACAACAAAAAGAUUAGCAAAAUAACUUACUGUUUUCUAUACAUAGCUGUAGAUCUCUGUAGGUGCCUUCUUGCAAGGCACCACCAAAUUAAAACAGGAGAAGGUUGUGUAUGCUUAUGUUAUGGAUGCUGUGUCACUCUUAACAAGUGAUGUGAUCCAGAAUGAGCAGAUCUGCUGAAAUGAGUUGGUGCUGGACCUUGCUAGGGAAGGGAUUGCUCUGGACUUGUUGUAGUCUGGCCUGGGGCAGUGGCUGCCAAUACCAGUUGGAAUUUGUUGCCCGUGCUUCUGAAGAACAGCUUCUGCUUUAGACUCCAUGGCUAGAAAUCCUCUUCAUGUCCACCAGCACAGUUUUGUGGCAUGAACCAAAGUGCGCAAGAGGGAAUGGUCCUGAUCUGAAUGAAAAUACUAAUGUAGGUAUGCCUUGUAUGGGUUCAGAACCAUGGUGAGUCAACCUUUUAAGUGGCAUUUUUUUACUUACUGGCACAUUUCCCAGUAGCAAAGGAAGAAAUUAAGAAAUUAGGACUGGAAGCAGGAAGCUAAACAAAACAUGUGAAAUGUGAGAGGGAUAUGAGGUUUCAUGAUAAAUGCACUCAGGCAACCAGUGAGAUACUUCUGCAAGGGCUAUGAUGAGAUACGAAAUGUAGCUGCAAGAGGUCAUCUACUCAUAGAUCAAGCUGGAAAAUGGAAAAGCACUGUCUGCAAGCCUGGAUAAGCAUGCACUCAUGCUUCAGUGGGAGGAAAAAAAUGGAAAGUAACAAUGUUGAAAGACAAGCACACUUCAAGUUGAAUCUCAUUCUAUUAGGCUGGUCCUUAUUUGUAAUGUCUUGUUCUCUUUCAUGACAGGUGGGGCAGAAGAUACUACUAUAUAAAAUGGUAGCCAGGAUCUUGAAUUACAAAAGGCAAGGAGAAAAGAUCUGAUUUUGUGGUGAAACCAUCCACGCAGAAAAUUCUUUUCAAUGCAAAAGUAAUAACUGAAUGCUAUUAGCUGUAAUCGUAAACCUAAGCUAAUAUCAUGUUGUGUUUAUUCCCACUGAGUGGUUUCCUGCGAGUCUGGUCUUUUGCAUCUCCUUAAUCCCUGCAAAUGCUACUUUGUGCAUUUUCCUUUCUAACGCUCUGCUUUUCUACCUGCUGUCCGUGUGCCACAUGCAAUUUUAGUGAGCAUGCAGGAUUAUCUAUUUAGCAGUAGCUAGCACUGGCUGGCAUUUGCAUGCUACCUCUUUUCAAUUCAAUUACUGACUGUGCACAGGGCAGUAAUUGCAGUUUCAGAAAGCUAAGGUUAAUGAGUAAAUUGAGUUUUAUGUCUUCCUGGGUCAUAAGAUAAAAUUUAUGGAUAAAAUAUUUGUAUAGGAGAGAUUUAAAUAGUGGCUGUUGUGCCUGGCUGUGCUGGAAGCUCAUAAGGAAAGUUUAGGUGUCUGCUGAAAUAGAAAAUGUCAUUGAUAAUGAAACUCAAAGGAGGAUGGAAAAGAGCUGUUCUGAGCAAUUCAAUUUCUCUUUUCCCCCUUAAUGGACAAAGCAUGCAAUUUGGCCAGUGAUAAAAGUGAACUUAGUUUUUCUGCAACAAGACCAAUUUUUGCUAUGCACUGCACAGCUCUAAGAAGGCAUCAUAAGUAAAUAUCACUGUUUGAGAGACAAAACAACAAAAAAAGGGAGGUUUGUCUGGCUACUACUACUUUAGGGAAGAGAGUUGAAAGAGUGUUUGUGGAGAAAACGAAGAGAAAAUGGAAAAUGGAUGGGAGCAUGUCCCGAGUAGGUUGGAUUUACAUGCGAGAAUUGAAAGUGGAAGAGAAAAGGAGGAAGACUAGUCAAGCAAAUAUUAAUGAGGAAAUUGGCCUCCUUAGUAUUAAACCUGUAUUGUCAGGCUGCCAGAUUUAGUGGGGGAAGUGCUUGCCUUGUCAGUGCUAGCUGAGCUGAGCUGAGCUCCUGGUGUGCUUCCUGCCAGUCAGAAGGGAGCUGGCUGAGCACUGUGCAAGUGGCACACCAGCACCCCUCUGGCAGCCCCAGCAAGCAGGGCUCAGACCCUUGGAUCAGGAUCCAAGGAACUGUCACAUAAAAGUCUCAUGCACACAUGGGCCUACUGGACAGGACUGCCAGGAGCCUCCAGAGCACUACUCCAGUGGGAGCAGAAGAAUUAGAAGGAAUGGAAUGAAGGAAGGAAGGAAGGAAGGAAGAAGCAGACUGAAAUGGAAGAGAGAAACUGAAACAAAUGUUGAUAAUAUUAAAAAGCAUAGUCUAGAUCUUGCCAACAAAAUCAUCAGCGUGUGAGUGGAAGCAUCUUUCAACUAGAAAUGGUCUGUAUGUACUUUGUUUUUGAAACAUAUAUGUCAGGCUACUUUUAUGGUGGACAGAAAACUUCGACCCCCAGCUUUUGUUGAAACUAUGUCAACUACAGCAGCAAAAUCACUUUUUCUAGCAUUACAAUAUUUGACAUGACAUUCCAAGUGAUGUGCAAGACAGUAGAACUAAAAGGGAGAUGCAUUAAUGUAGGUUAGUAUUUUCUGCAUUUUCUGUCCUGGUUUCAGCUGGGAGAAAGUUAAUUUUCUUCCUAGUUGCUGGUACAGUGCUCUGGUUUGGAUUUAGUAUGAGAGUAUGAGAGUAACAUUGAAAACACACUGAUGUUUCCAGUUGUUGCUGAACAAUUUACAGCACUUUUUAGCUUCUUGUGCUUGACAGUGAGAAGGCUGGAGAGGCACAAGCUGUGUGGGGACAAAGCUUGGACAGCUGACCCCAACUGACCCAAGGGAUGUUCCAUACCAUAUGGCAUCAUGCUCUGUAUAUGAACUGGGGGGGAGCUGGCUGGGAAGCACCAUUCAGGAACGGACUGGUACUAUCACACUGUGCAACUCUUGAUUUUUAUAUUCAAAUUCUUUUUUAUUAUUAUUAUUAUUAUUAUUAUUGUCUUCCUUUUAUGUCCCAUUAAACUGUCUUUAUCACAACCUAUGAGUCUGAAUAUUCCUACUCUCUCCCCCAUACCACUGGUACGCAGGCAGGCAAUGACGGAGGGGCUGUGUGGUGCUUAGUUGCCAGCUGGGGGUAAACCACAACAAUUGGAUGAACCUACUUAAUGCCCAUUGCAUUAUACCUUUUCUUCCUCCCCUGUGGAUACACAAGCACCUAAGCGUAUGUCGCGUAGUCUGAAAAUGUUGAUGAGAAGGGCAGUGUCCUUGACCCCUCACCUCUGGUGGAGAUGUAACUAAGGAAUCCCUCAAAUUCUGAAUUGGAAUCAGGAGAGCAUUUUUCUCAUAUUUGUUUCUAUUUUAUGGUAAUGCAAAUGACAAAGGUAUGUCCUGGUAUUUCUUUGCCUCCAUACCUUCUUUUUUCCCAAUUUCCACAUAAUACUGCCUAUAUUCCAUCGUUCUUCUGGUCAGAUGAGAGUGAUCUCUUAUAAGGACUAGCAGUUAUUUUCUAGGGAUUUCCAGAACCAUAUUUCCUAAUAGUUCCAUAACCAAGAUAGAUGUUUCUAAGGGAAUAACUACAUGAGUGCUCGCAGCUGUGUUCAAAGCAUAGUACAGCCAAAGUCUGUUGUGAGUGCAUGUUACACACCCAAAAUUCAGUUCCAGACAGUGUUGGGGCUGCAUUUUAAGAGAUCAUUUUAGUUCCUAGGCCUCCUAAUGCUAAUAAAAAUUCUUGCUGUUGCAGGAUUAGUCAAUGGCAAAACCCAUCUGGAAGAUGAUUUUUUUCUCCCACUGAAACUGUGGGUGGAGGUCUGGGUUUGCAUCCUUGCUCUCUUAACUAUUUUUUGUUCCUGGCCAAAGCAGAAUUGGUUGGGAUUGUGAUCCUGAGCCUGUUUAAAUAACCAUUUAAUAAAUGUUCUGGCUUUCUCAUUAUAGGAACAAAUUUCAGAUCUGAAAUUUGGGUGUCUCCGCAGCUUUUUCCGAGGCUCUACAUUAUUGUAUUAGCUUGUGGCUCUAGUCCUGAAAAGAGUGUAAUUUCAUCCUCGCAUUUCAAAAGGUUAAUCUCUUCUCAUUAACAAUAAGGGGUCACAUCACAUGGCUAAAAAAAAAAAUAGUAGCAUCCAUCUGAAUUUCCUACCCAUGUGAGCAGUGGAAAAAUGAACAGGAGUGGGAAGGAGUCACACAUCAUAUACUAACUCAUCUAAAUCUGGAUGCUUAAAUUAGGUUCCUCCAGCAAGUGGGAUCAGGACGAGUCAUCUCUGUCACUGUUAGAAAAGCCAAGAGAGAGAUUAGGCUCCUAAUCUAUUUAUCAAAAUGUUUUAUUGUAUUUUAUUAUGUGUUAAAUACCUUAUAAAGGUGCUGUGAUUAUCUUGCCUUCUUCCCAGCCUCUCAGCCUCUUAAACUGCUAACUUAUUGAUCCUGCUGAACUUUCAGAAGUACGCCAGAACUACUUCUCCUGAGCUCUAGAGCAACAGGAAACUACAAAGAAACUUGAAGAAAGCCAAGACAAAAAAUGUUUGGAAAAAAAUUCCAGAGAUGAAGAGGAGGAGCUGCAGAUGUGUGUCACAGCCACAACAGUAGCUGCUGCUCUCACCCCACAUGGGCUGUGAGAACUUAAUGAGCACAAUUGUCCACACACUUAAUAAAUACUUGGUCUGAAGGACUGAAGAAGGUCAUGCUUUAAAGACCUAUCUGCAGACAAUUGAUCAUGAUGGGGCUAAUAAAGUAUUUAUAGGAGGCAAAAGGGUGACUCCAGCAGAGCCAUAGAGGCAGGAGCUGUCAUGGGAAGGGCCACCAAGCUCUUGGUCCUCACAAGUAGAUGCCCAGCAUCCCCUGUGGGAUGUAAGGGCUCCACUGCUGCACCAGCCUUCCUGCCAUUGGCUUCAGCAGCCUAAAUGUUUCAGGAGCCUUUAAUCUGAGUCUAGGUAGAUGAAAGCAGCUACACGUGUAACUAGCAAUGCCAUAAUGGCAGCUUUGAUUACAGUGUAGGUAUCUUCAAAAAUAGAUGAUCUUGGGAAUCAAGGUCAGGAUGUGAUUAUGAGAAUUACAGGCUUUCCUAAAAGUGCUGAGGAAAACAAAAAUGCAAACUGAAAAACUUAUUGAUUCUUCCAUUUUUACCCUGGUGACCAGCUACAUCAAACUGAUCUGCCGGGAGCCAUCACAGACAAAUCCGCAGUAAAAGAAACACUGCGUGGAUCGGUGGCAGACAUUAGAAACCUUCCCAGAGGAGAGGUAAGGAAUGUAGAGCUGCCCUUGUCGCUUCUCCUUUGGUAAAUGACUACUCAAAAACCCUAAUUAAGUUUCCAUCUUUAAAAUGUGAUUUCCAUUUGCUCCCUGAGGUUUAAAAAUAGUGGAAAGAUUUCAGCAAUUGAUGACACUCUCAGUUGUACUAAAUUAGAGCGUAGAAGAAUUAGGAGUUGCUACUGGUGGUGUCACAUAGUAAUGGUAUCUCCUUUUGUUCUUGCCCUUGCACCAGGUUGCUGUUCCCCACCACCACGCUCCUGGGCAGCAGCCACAUACCAGAGAGGCAAAUCACACACCAGUGGUGCUUGAUGGUCAGAGUAAGUUUUUUAUCACUUUUGAAUUCAUCUAGCCCUUGAAUCCCUUCAUUCAGGCUUGCCCACGGGCCUGUGCCUCCAAUCUUUUCUCACAUAACACAGGCUUGUGAAAAGAGGUAACAAUUUUGCCUUUAUGGGUGUUUUUGAUAACAGCUUGACUUUACUGACCACUAUGGAAAUUCUCUGGAUUUGCACUGCUGUGAGCUAAACAGGGCUCGGGGGAUCCAUGUGUGUGGGUUAUAGACUCCUUAAUUGCAUGUGGGCAGCAUUGUCCUCUGACUCAGAAAUACCCUUGCCUUAGGAAAAAAUCAUAUACUCCCAAAAAAUUAUUGUUGUUCUCCAUUUAUAGACGUGAUCGCUUUAACAUUGCCCUGCAUUUGUCUUCACAAAAUUUAUUGGAUAAAUGGCAAAAAAAGGCUAUUAGUUGUUUCCACUGAAAUCUGUGAGUGAUAAACACAUCUGUUAUACUCCUAAUUGGGUAUGUUUUUGAUUGAACAGUACCUGAUUCAAAAGCAUCUCACCUGCUCUUAAUAUGAAGGCAAUAAAAACAUAGCUAUGUGCUGUGUUUCUGGCACAGUUUCAGCUCUUCCACAUUACUUAAAUCGUGACCAUAUAUUCCAGUUAGCUUAGGCUUCAGGCUUUAAAAGCCCAAUGUGAGUAAUGAAGGGAAAGCAAUCUGAUUAGCUAGUGGAGCUGACUAAAAGGCACCUUCAUUACAAAGGAGCUUAAAAAAGGAAUAAAACUACAUAAAAUGGAUUAAAGGUAUGAUGAUAAUGGUAGUAUCAAACAGCAUAGCAAAGAAAAAUAUCUGCAUUCAACAGAUAUUAAUAUUUAAUAGAUGGCACAGACAUGUCCAUGGCUUUGUAUUCUUCUGUUUUAAUGAUCUUUACCACAGCUUGAGGUCCUUUGUCUUGUCCCCUUCUACUGACAUCAGCUGGAGGAGACAAAGAUUAAAACAAAGGUAAUUUCCCUGUGGUUGUUGCUUGGCACUAUUUCUGCUUUGCUCAGCCAUGAGCUGAAGUUUAAAGGAUGAAGUGCUGUCACUCAGGCUGAUUCUCCCUUCCACCCCAUCUUACCAGGGUUAACCACUCAGCCAGUCACCACGGAAACGCGUGGCUCCUUUGCCACCCCACAGCCUCAUAUUGGGAACGGCACCAUAAUCUCAUUAGGAGGUUGAAUUUGCCAUUGAAGCUUGAAUUCUCAUAACAGGAGGGGAGUGGACUAAUGCAAUUAAGCAAAUUAGCAUUUUGAGCCAUUAUAUCUGUCCAAUAGCCUGAGCAAAGACUAGGUAGUUUUCUUCCUCUCCUAAAAAAAAGUCAACAAAACCAAUACUCCAGUCCUCUCCCCACAUGGUGUUCAGGGAAAUACUGUAGUCCCCUCUCAACUGUAAAAGUCUUUACAAAUGGGAAGAAAAUUGUUCACUUGACCAAAAACCUGAAUAGUAUGCCUCUCUUUUUCCCAGUACUUGGAUCCCAGUGGUUCUGAUUAUUUUUAUCAGUGUAAUGUUUAUGCUUCUAAGGUAAAGUAAAUAAAACCAGAACAUUUUGUUUUGCUCUUUUCUUAUGGUAUGUGACAGUGGUUACCAGAUCAGAACAAAACUCCUGUUGAUUUCAGAUCUAUUUUGAUGUGAAGUGUUUCUUAAGUGCUAUGAAUAACUCCUUUAAAAUGCACCAGAUUUUCAAGAGAUAAUUCCAGCAUAUUCAGUAAUUCUCUAGAAACGCGGAUUAUUAAAUGCCUAAAGCAGCGCUUUUCUGCCUUUUGUUGUGGGGUUUUGAGGCUAAUCCAGUUCCCUCCUCCCUCCCUCACCCUGCCAAGUAAACAAAGCCGCAAAAGCGGACUGUAGCAAGAAUCAGGAGCCAUAAAUCUUUGAAUAAUAUCCUGGCACAUGAGUUUCAAAGGCAACAUAUUUCUCUGAGAGCCCAGGGGAGAGUGUGAGGGAGAAAGGGAAGGAAGGGAGUGGUGGUACCCUCCUGAGGAUAAUGCUGCCAUCUCCAUCACAACAUUUCUUCCUGGCGAGGUGGAAGUUGGAAUGGCAUGGGUAGGAUCUAGGAGCCUCUUACACAUAUCAAUUACUGAGGAGGUUAUGCUGCUGGCUGCUCGCCUGUCUUCAUCUUUGAAUGGGAAAGGCAGGAAUAACAAGUGCAUUUUAGUAGAUGUUAUUGUGCUACCACUCAUCUCUUCACAAACAAAUCCCAGUCUGCCACCAGGCACUGCAGUCAGGAGUGGAAGCAUGGGUUAUUACUAAAUAAGGGCAUUGGCUAUACACUCAACUUUAUAUAAUACAUGGUUCCUACCCUAAGCUGCUUACAAAAUAGAUGUAUAUUAUGUAGGCAGAAUACAUAGUCCCAAAGGAUAGUGUAAUCUUAGCAUUUUUUUCCUGAAAAUGCGAGGGACUUCAAGACUGAGUCAGUGCUGAGAAUAUCUGUCACAAGCUUGAAAAUAGAACGUAGUGUAGAUAAUGCUGCGGUUAUUUGAAAAGCGUCACGAAGCUGAGUAUUUCAGUGGCUACAAACUCCCAAAAUGUCAGAGCUGAGCUGGUACUGAAGAGAAACUGAUAUGUGCUGAAACAGAAAAUACAGGACUGAGGCUCACGAGCAAAAUGGGCUCUGCACUGUGAUGGCAGUAGCCAUACAGUUUGGAUUAAAGUAUUUUGAUAUUUAUGGUAUCAGAUCAGAUAAUGAAAAAUUUUUAAAAAAAAUCAUGUUUUUAAAAUAUUAUUUUUCCUCCUGGUACCAUUACAAAACAGAAUCAGGGGUUGAAUUACUUUUCUGUGUGAGUUCUUAUGUAACACUGUAAAGUAGUCCUGUUUUGCCUAUUUGGUUUUUCCCUUUUAUCAUGUUUGGAUUAAAAUGUUGCCCUAAUCCUGCAUAUCCUGCUUUGAAAGGCUUAGAUCUGUAAUGUAUUGUAUGGUAUCCUUUAAAAGGCUUUGCUCUUUACUGUGUGGUAGCCUUGAGUUAACAAUAUAGAUUUCAAUUCUUAACCUUAUAUUUGAUAGUUUUGCUUGGGUUGUGUUCUUCAUUUAAUACAAUGUAAAAUUUCAAAUAUGCAUAUUAAUUGGGAUGUAUUCUUGAAAGUUUUUCAGAGGUAAACACCAUAAAUGUGUAAUUUUGGGGAGGGGAAAAAAAAAGAGAAAUUGAAGCCAUAUUUUGUAUCCAUCCUGUAAGGCUGUGACCGCUGUUCCUGCAGUGGAUGAGUGUUACUUGCUCUUGAAGAGGUGAGGCAGGAAAGCGCUGCCAAGUACCCAUGACCAGGUUUUCCUGGUCACCUUCUUUCAUCCCAUAGUGAGGUAAUAAGUUCAUUCAACAGCUGUUAUCUUUUUCCCUCUCCUUCCCUGUUCUCUUUUUGACGGUAUAUUUACUGGCACUAUUCACUGUGUGAUUUUCCAUCACACAAAGGUUUCAACAGGUAGUUUACAUAGCUCACCUCUGCUACAGAUGAGGCAUAAAGAAUACACCAAAAUGCAGCUCUGCAGCUGCAUCUCUGCCUUGACCUACUGCCAGACUUAAACAUAAUGGUUUCAAACUCUGCAAGCCUCUGGCAUCUUUCUUGCCCUGAUUAUAUUUUAUGCUUGGUAAAAAGCAUGAGGCACAGGGGUACCCCCGUGAAGAUGAGAGGAUAAGACCUUAAAAAUUAUGCUGCAGGCAACAAGGAUUUGAAGAGAGGUGUAAUGUGGCCCAAAGGACAAAGGGGAUUUUAAUACUCUGAAUGAGCAGGAGUUAGAGGAGAAGAAAAAGCAGGAGAUGGAGAUAAACAAAGGCAGGGACAUGCUUCAGGGAAAGUGUAGUAAAAGAAGAGAAUCCACAUGCCAAAAGUGAACCUCCCUUUUUAUCUUCCUUUUGUGUUUCAUACAGUCACAUCAGCACAAUAGGUAUUCAUCUAGACCAAAGGAUCCAUUCAUAACUUUUUCAUCUCUUCGGGGAUCUGUUAAAAUUGUACAUGGCUUUGCCUCCUGAGAUAGUGAACUCUUGUCUUGAAUGGAAAAAGGAUGGUGUACAGAGCCCAAAAUUAAAGCAACUAAAGACAGCUUUAAAGUUACAAAAUGAGAUAAAAAUUAUCAGCAACACUUGCAGAUGUAAUAGAUACAAAUCCUUCUUGGCCUUCAGUGAAGAACAGGAGUUUUAUGAAAACAUCUCUGGAAUGUGGAGAAAACAGAUUUUUAGUACAAAAGUCCAAAAGAAAUAAGAAGGCAACCCAUUGUGUGACAUGCAGAGGCAGUGCCACAUCCAAAUGUAUUGCUCUUGACAGACAGCAAAAAGGAUGAGUCAGGUGUGUAUUCUUCAUUCAGGUGAUGGCUGUCAUACCAUAAUGUUUUACAUUAUUGUUCACUAUUUAUUACUAAAGGGAAUUGUCCCACUUUUAAUAUCAGCACUUUGCCUGAAUAAAUCCCACAUGCCUGUUUUUUGGGAGAAGUAAUAUUAAUUCAUGUAGAGAAGGUGACUAAAAGCAAAGCAGAAUAGAGGGGGAAAAAAGAUAAAAAUAAUGAAUCCUUAGUGUUCCUUUGCAGGAAAGGCUCUAGUUAUGAUGCAAAUGAUACAAAAUUAAUGUAUUCAUGAAUUAAAAAUGAGAGGUGGCACAAACAUAAACUCAUUGUUGUUGAAAUUGUCGUGCUCCUCAUGAAUUGCCACGUUAUGCUGAGACUCCUCAGGGCAAAGCUGCUCACCCUAGGAGGGGUGAGAGGCUUCUGCACCACUGAGCACAGAAAGCAGAGGGACAUCCUGGUGCAAGAAAUGUCGGUGAUGUGUGGGGUGGAUUUGUUAGAGGGAGGCACAGCCAGCAGGUGUGGUAACACAGCCACAACAUCUCAUGGAGCCACCACCAGUCCCUUCCUCCUCCCUAUCCUCCCUAUUCUUCAUCCACUUGGAAGGGGUGUGUGAUAAGUGGAGGAGAGGGAGGUGCAAGUCAUUGUCAGGCUGCACUGGGGUUCCAAAACUAGUUUUCCAAAUAUACUGUAACAAGAAGUAUGUCUUAGACCUAGGGAUAUUUUAUUAAUUGUUGGAAGGUAAUUUUAUCUGUAACCUUGCUUUUUCUUUUCUCCUCAUCCAUAUUUUGUCUCCUUCUCCCCCAGAUUUUCCACUUUGCUGUGUGAUGAGAGAUUUACAGAUUUCUGGGUGUGCAAUCCAAUGCUAGUUGUCUGUAAGGUGUGCCAAAACAGGCUCAGCACAGAUCUCCAUGAAAUGAUGAAAGGUUAAUCCAGUUCUCAUCUCUGAGUUGUUCUCAGCAUGCACAGCUACAAUGCCCAGUGGUUGGGGCUUCAGAUAAUGUUGACCAACACAUUUCUUACAGAGUAAAUCCUUUUCAAAGCAAACUAAAGUUGUGUUUUUAACUACUGAAAUAUUUCUUAAAUGUCCUAAUAAAUAGAAAACAUUAAAGAUGUUCCUGUGAUAACCAACUGAUCAUUUUGGGUCUACAAACUCUCUGAGCUUCUCUACUGACCUUCUAUUAUUUUCCUUCAAAGUAUGAUUUUUCUCCCCCAUUCUGUAUUUACUCCUGUUGUUAUUCUAAACUUCAUUGUCUAUUUGUUAGCUUAGUUCUUCUUAUUGCUGAUAAGCUAUGAUGCAGAGUAUAUGUUUUUGCUUAUAUUUUAAAAAUCCUGUAAAGUUCCCUCUCAUACAAAACUGUCAAGAAAGGCUCAUCCUUGUUCUGUGUCCUACCGUCACAUUUUCCACUCUCAUGUACGUUUCUUUUUCAUCUCACUCAAUUCAGCUAAUUCUAAACUUUCAGAAACCUCUCUUUAUCAUAUUCACAUAAAUGUCUUCAGCGUUUCUCAAACAUAUACAAAAGCUAGAUAUGCUGAAUGCAUUUUAGAAAGAAUUAUUUGCUCAUCUCUAGUUCCCAGUCUUGCAUGGGUCUAAAUUUAGUUUAACACAAAAAUUGUCUAUUAUGUAAUUUCAUUAAGGUUUUCCUAGAGUCUGUUGCAGUCUUUAGCCACCAGAAUAGUAUUUCGCUGUGAGAAAAUUUGGUGAAUGAAGAUUUUCUCUUUCUUUGCUAAUAAACAGGUUAAAAAUGCCAAUUGUAUUGUGAUAUUCCUUGAUAGGUUCCUUGAUAAACUUGAUUAACAGUUUUCCUUUUUAUUCAGUUAUCCCUACAUGCUUUCCACAUUGCAGCAAAUUGUUAGCUCAUUACAAGAUGAAUUGUCAAGAACCUCCAAACUCAGAUUUUAUCAAAACUCUUGAGAAAAUGUUGAACUAAAUGGUUUAUUGUGCACUUCAUAAGCUCUUGAUAUUUAGAAGACUUAGAUUUUCUAUGUAAGCCUCAAUGGUUUAAUUUUAUUAUUUUUAAUUAAUGUCUAUGUUCCAUGCAGUGCUGAAUCAUCUCCUGCACUCACACAGAGCAGCAGCUGGUUUGUGAUUUCACUUCUGUGCUGACAUCCCCUUUUGGAAGGCAUAUCUUCCUACUCUUUUUUUUUUUUUUCCCUCUGGGCUUAAUCUAGUCUUACCCAAGCAGUCACAAGCUGUGCUGCCAUAGACGGUGGAUUUAGCUUUCUCCAGGGAAACAAACAGCAGAGGCAGCACAUGCAGGGCUCCAGCCCACACUCCAGCCUGCACUCCUGGCCCAUUCACAUGGCCCAGCUACCUAAAGAUGAGCACAGCUCACCAGCCCCUCCCUGGGGAUGGACAACACGAGCCCUUGGGACAGAGGGCCAAGCCCACAGCAGCACAGAUGGGAGAAAGGAAGGAAAACCAAACCCAGGUCCUGUCUCCUUUCAACACAGGGCUGGAGGGCUGGGGCCAGAUGUGAGCAACACUCCUGGGACACCCACUGCUGUGGCAUCCCUCCUACAAGUGCCUGUUCUUAACAAGGGGCAGGAUAAAAUUAAUGUAGGAGGUUGCACCAUCAGUGUAAGGACAGCAGUGUGAACUUGUAAUUACUCCCAGACCAAGACAUACAUCCAAUAAAUUGAGUUUUGGGUUAUCUUUUCUUUAAUGUAAAAAGAUCUUCAUAUGAAUAUUGGACUAAUUAUUGCACAGGUGAGGCAUUUAAAUACAUUCAACAUCACAAGGCUGGUCAGUGCUAGCACCAUGCUGUCACCUCAUGAUUUUAAAUAAAGAUUAGCAGAGCUGUAAUUCCAUUGCCAGGCAAGAAGUUGACAAAGAGAUAUUUCUUCCCUCAGAAACUGGAAUACAGACCCUAAACUUUUUUUAUGAGAUAACUAGAAAACUUUUCUUCUUCCUUAUUUUUCCUGCUCUGUCAAGACUCUUCAACACCAUUCAGGGCUCGUCUCUAUAACCCGAAUUGCAGUAAAUCAAUUAGUUAUCAGACUGUAUCUUAUUCUUUAUAAAACACCAGAAUUUCUGAUACCAAAUGAUAUAAAGAACUGCUUUCAUCUAGCCUCAAAAAAGAAAACCCUUGAAGUGUUUUAAAGAUUCAACAUGUCAAAGUUUUGAGCCUUUUUUAAAAUUCUAAUAAUGCAGUGCUAAGGACACCUCUUGGAUGUGCUACAAGUAUCUGCUGCUCUGAAAAAAUUUUUCAGUGAAUAUUAACUCCUUGAUUUAGUGAACAUCUUUAUUGUUAAACCUUCUGUUAUAGAUGAAGGAAAACACCAUUCUCCUUUCUGCAACUGAUAAUAAACAAACUGUAAUACCCUACAAGACAAGAAAACAAAGCUGGUUUUUUGACUUCUGAAUAGGAGGUGCUAGCUUAUUUAUUUAAAUUCAAAAAUUAUAGCCAAUGACCUGUCUAGUGAAAGAACAUAGAACCCCCAGUAUACCCCUAAUACCGUUCUUGGUGAGUCAGACUGUGCUGAGAUCAUAGGUUUUGUGUUCUUCCACAUUUCCCACAACCAGUGGUCCGUCUUCCAAACAUUCCUCUAGUGAAUGGAAAUCAGUCUUACUUGCUUAUACUUCUCCUUAUGUCAGGAUAAUGCAUUCCUGCUCACUGGCUCUGCUUCUUCUGAGCCUUUAGUUUUGGUCCUAAACACUGUUUGCAUUGUUUCCUUAAAAAUAGCUGAUUUCUCAACCCAUUGUGGAACCUUCUCAGCUGAGUCUAAACUGCAGGAGCUAACUGUGUACUUGCCUCAAAGGUGCUGCGUAACUGAGAGCUUGUGGGUCUCAUGGGAAAGCAAUGACGUGCCCCAAAUUUGGAUGGGGGCGUUGGAGAGGAAAUUCCACGUGGAAACACAGAAUUGUAAAGCAGACUUCGGCAAUCAGCUGUUCUGAGCCCUAACAGAACAGCAGAUGCACCGAGCACAAAGGAACUCCUGAACCAUCACUGUCAGAGUAUUUGUAAGAAGCAAUUGUUUGGGAUUUUCAGAGGCAGGGAAAAAACUAAGGAGCAGCUGUCUCAAAGAACAGUCUUAAAUCAAAAAUGGCUGCAGCUUUGGAGGGAAUUGGCACUAAAGCCAGAGGUCCUAAAGGUUUGGGAUGAAAUCAAGGUAGAUUUAUAGAAACUAUUGAAAAGGGGUAAAACAAAACUACAGUAUAUCUGCCCAUGUGUAUUAGGAGGAAUUGAAGUGCAAGUUAAUGAAAAUUUGGGGGUUAGUUUCUUCUGGGAACAGCCUCCUUAGUCAUGGUCAGAAAAAAAUUGUUGAAGAGGUGCUAACAGUAGGAGGAAAUAGUACAGUGAGAAUGAAGCAGUGUGGAAAAAUACUGACUCUAAUUGCUAAAUUUGGCACAGAUAUAUCUAGGAAGUUAAUCCUGCUGAAUGUUUCCUAUAUUGGGAUAUUGGUUACUUAUCAGAGCUAUGUAUGUGCACAGAAUUAUGUUUUCUGUAGCUUUCUUCAGCCAACUGUACCAUUAGAAAUGGAUAAUUUGUAAUAUUGUCAGCCUGACAUUUUGCUCUGUGUAAGGUGACACUUUCCUUGCAGGAUAUCCAAACUACACACCAACCAACAGGCAUCUUAUUAGUCUGCCUCCUUAGCUUUUAAAAUGUCUCAUAAUUCUGUGAGAUAUUUCUGGUGCUGAGAUUCUACCAAACUGUAUCUUACUGUAUCAAACUGUAUCCAGUAAUGUGUAUCAAUUUCAAUAACCAGAAAAUGUGAAAAGCAUCCAUCUUCAGUAACUAACAAGUAUAUGACCCAUCUUUCUUUUUCCUCACUGAACACCUGAUAAAUUAAAGCUACCUUUCUGUGCCAGCUCCGCACGGUCUAUGCAGGAAGACCCAAAAUGAGCUGUUCCUCUUCUGGUGCCUAUGAUUAGAGACAGCCUUUUAUUCUCAAUGGUUCCUGACUUAUUUGGUCUCUCCCUGUUGCAUCUCAUGAAACAUAAGUGAUCCUUUGGAAGUUAGGGAGCUGGAAAAUGAGUGGCACACGGGGGUGGGCUACAGACAAUAGCCGAUCCCAAGUACUUGUGCCUAGAAUGGGAAGUGGGUGAUAAAUUUUAAAAUGUGGAUGUGGGUGUUUAUUGACAUCACAGGUGGUUUCUGAGGAGAAAAAGUACAAAUUUAUUAACAUUGGAAACCACACUUUCUUUGUUUAGUUCUAAAAGAGGCAAUAACUCUAACAGCAAGGUAUAUGCUCCUUAGUACAAUAGCAUGAUAUGUAAUUUUGGAGGUUAUUUUCCCACUGGAAUAACAGUUGGAUGUACUCUGCAGAGAUGGGACAAUGGGUAACAGACCAAGUCAGUCGUCAGCAUGAACUUUUGUGACUCUCAAGCAGACACCAGAAUGGAAAAACUCUGCCUCUGUGGUGCUGAACAUAAAGGACUUUAUAUUCUGGCUCUUUGACAUUUCCUUGGAUGUUGAAAGAGGAACAGUGCACAAUUGGGAACACCCACCUGUACAGGGUUGUAGCCUGGGUAGCAGUGUUUAACCCAGAGAUGGAGGAACUGGGAGAGGAAGUAGCUCCAUGUUUGGGAAGAAUAAGGAUGUCUUCACCUUUGGGAACCUCUGCUUCUUGCAGAGGGAGGCACAAGCUCCUCCCCAGCAAGGGUGCAAGAGCCACAUUUGCCUCCCAACCUGAGCCAGAUCCCAGGAGGUUUCUCACACACACACAAAGGCUCAGUACCAGCAGGAAUUACUGAUAGCAGUCACCGGGCCCUGGCAGCCUCUUGGUAUUUAAGGGUUUGGUCUUUAAUCCCUGCAGGCUGAGGAAGCUUCAAAGUCAGACUUCCCACUUGCUGCCCUGACACAUGGCCACCUUUGUAAGAGGUGACGUGCUGCUGUUCUCUCAUCAAAGUUGAUUGCCUCUGUGUUUUGUGUGGACCCCAAAAAUCCCUUUAGAAAGCAUUGGUGAAAACUGCACAAUGCCCAGGGGCUCCCCUGCUGGCUCCAAAUGUGCAGGCAUGGACAAGGAAAAAGCUCUGGUCACCCAUGGGGUUUUAUGGCCAAAAUUAAGUUUACCACUGGAGUUAGGAGACUGUGGGCUUGGCUGGGUUUUGGGAGGGUCACAGUUUUGGAUGAAUAUGCAUAACAUCUCUUCAUGCUCAGCCCCUUACAGGAGCUAGUCAUGCAAUUAUUUUCAUUCCCUGAUUGAGUUAUGGAAAUUAGUAAUAUAAUUACUGGAGGACAGAAGCUCCAGUGAAGAACUGAGACCUUUAAUAAUCAGGUUUUGUACAAAUAAAGAGCAAGAAGUGACAAUGUAGAUAUAACUCCUGGGACCAGGAACAAAGCUUUAAAAAAAGGCCUUUGGGGCUUUGAAUCCCUCAGGGAGAGAGAGCAGUUGAGGGAGAGCUUGCAAAAAAAAAAAAUUGUGGAUUUGUGAACUUGAAAAUGUCGCACAUUUUUCUGUUGAAGCUAUGCCUCAUUGCUGUUGGUAACGUGUCACUCUAACACCUGCUGGCCCUGAUUAGGAUUCCUCUGGGAUGGUAUAAUCACAGAGCACAAUGUGGCCACAAAGAAAUUACAGCUCAUGAUCUGCAACAUAUAAAGGGGGAAUAAUGAUAGACUCAACCAGGUUUAUGCUGGGUUAUCCAUACAUAUGGCCUGUAUGGAUGCCUUUGUGUCUUCAUUUACUAUUUUGAUUUAGCUCUGUAAAUAUCAGUGCUCCCUCAUAACUCUGAGCCUGGCCAUUAUGAGUUGGCUGCUCUUAUGGUGUCACUGAAGAAGAUCUCAAAUAGGGAUUUGCAAUAGAAGAAAAUAACAUCUUAGACUUCGGCUACUGUAAGCUGGGCUGGCUGAGGGGCAAAUUUACAUUUAGAUUGAGCCUCUUCACAUCUUCUCUAAGUAAUUGUAAACUCUCUUGUGCCUCAGCCCAAGAAAAGAAUUUAGGCAGUCCAACACUGCCAAAAACUGUCUUAUGCUUUGUAAGAUGUGUGAUAGCUAAUCUAAGUAGUCAGGCUUAACAUCUACUUUUCAUAAUUAUUUGUGCAAAUACAGCUCAGUUAUCAAAUGUCAGCAUUAAUCAGACAAAGGAUAUCAGCAUUGCCAAAAUAAACAUGUUGUAAAAGUGUUGUGUCUGAUUAUUUGUAUUAUUCAACCAACACCCAGAUGUCCUAUUAUGUUAAGAGCUACACUAGCAUAUAAGAAACCAUUCCACCAGGAGGGAGUGCAUGACUAAUUUAUGAUAAGAGAAAACAAUUGGACAUUACAAGCAAAUAAAAAGAAGGAGAGAGGAGAAUUAGAGGGGUCGUGGUGGUCUGUGGCUGUAUGUGCCUAUAAGAACCAAUAAUGAGUUUGAAGUAAAGGAAAAAAAAAAGAUUUGAUAUAAAUAAAUAAGUAAUAUGAUACCAGUAAUUCUUGCCAGGCAUUUGCCUAUCCCAGUGGAGAUUUCCCUGGUAUGUACUUAGCUUUCACAUGAGGGUCUUAUCCUCAUUCACGCCAUGCCUGUUUACACCAUUCUCGUAGGGGUCUCCAAUAGGCAUUGCAUGACAGCAGAGGAUGGAGGAACACAGCCAAAAUCCUGCAGCUGGCCUCAUACCACACAAAUCUGCCGUCUGCACCCAGCCAGGCACAUGCCCAGGGAGGGCUACAGGGGCUGCAUUUCUUUGUUAUUAAAUGCCUUAUACUGCCAGCACAGCAUAAAGGGAUCCUGGUGUGCCUGAUCAUUCGUCUCCCUCUAAUGUGUUCUGCUACAGCAUGUUUUCAGUGCCACAGCCCGAAUUUCUUUGAGCAUUAAAUGUGAAUAAACCACUUUAUUAAGGUGCCUGGUUGAACUGGUGCUGCCCAGGACAGCAAACAUUACUGUAUGUGUCAAUGAGAAGAAGGUGGACAGAACACAAAGACGCACAGUUUGCAGAGGUAUCUGCUCUCCAGUCUCAUUUCUGAUCCAAGGUCCUGCCUUGUCAUGGGCUUUUCAUUAUUCUGAGUCUCUGUUUGUCAAGGGCACCUCCUCAGAAGUCAGGAUGAGAGUCUUAGUCCUCUUUGCCUGCAGGAGCUUGUGGUUGGUGAUGCACAGCAAUACAAAAGACAUCUUAAAUGUAAAACAUUUAGCAGUUGAAACAAUAUUUAGUGGGGGAGAAAAAGAUAAGUGAGAUAGAAAAAAAUAUGUAUUUAUUAAUGUAUUUGCAAUGUAAAAUUUACAAGGUAACCACAGGAAACUGAGCUCUGUCAGGCACUUAAGUGUCUCAGAUUAAUUCUCCCAGACAAUUCCCAGCCUUUUGUGAAUGUGCUACUUUUUUCACAUCCCUAAUUCUUUUCCCCUCCAGUGCAAAGAAGCCUGGCUGUGUCUCUCAGCUAUUGUUUGUAGAAAAGUGGCUUAUCUUGAGCCAUACUUUUCCUUUCAUUUUCCUUUUGAAUUGAACCAUUCUGUUCAUGGGGCGAAGUCAAAACAGGGUACUCAUAAAUUAUCACAGAGCUAUUCCCCUUUCAUCACAGGCAUAAACACUUCGCAAAUCAAGUAGGUGAAGCUGGAAUUCCCAUCUAUUCUUGGAAUUUAUAGCCAAAACCAAGUGAGAGUGGUGACACAGUAAUGCAAAACAACCUUUCUGAUAUCUCCCAUGUAGGGCAACAUCUAUAAUAUUUAGUGUUUCCAUAAUAAUUACUAUUUCUCAUUAUUAAAUACAGUAUUUGCUAUCUCUUUCACUCUCUUUCAUCUUCUCCAUAGAGGAGAAUUCCUUGACCUGCCCAGCAGUGUACUGACAAAAAAAAAUAAAAA